rnacentral:snRNA from 1 species
GGAUGUGAGGGCGAUUUGGCUGCAACAUCUGUCACCCCACUGAUUGCCAGGUUUGAUUUGGCUGAUCUGGUUGACUACGCAGAUUUCCCCUUCCUCCUUCAUUGCUCCAUGUGUGUCCCUCCUGAAGCUGUGUGCUAGGUGGAAGAGACAACUGUCCCAGGUUGGGUAUACAAUUUAUAGGAGGUUUAUGGCUAAUUCAUAUUGGAAAAAAAAUCUCAUAUGUGAGAUCGUUU